AAUGAAUGACCAAUUUCAAGAGAAAAUCAGGUUUAACACGAAUUUAACUAUUUAUUAACAACAACAAAUUAAUAACAUUAAUGGAAAUAAUAUGAUAUUGCUAUAGUGGACGAUCUUGCUGCAACUGUGUAUAGCAAGAGUCGGAAGAGUUUUUGCUGUCAAACGUGAUUAGAGAUGCGUAACAUAUCGGCACUUCUGUAGAUAAACCAGCAAGUCCAGUAGAUAUUAUAAUCCAAUAGGAGAGUUUAGAUUCAAAACCCAACCGUGUUGUUAGCAUUAAAAAAACUGUAAUAAACGCUAAAUAAACUUU